CCUACGGGAGGCAGCAGUCGAGAAUCAUUCACAAUGGGGGAAACCCUGAUGGUGCGACGCCGCGUGGGGGAAUGAAGGUCUUCGGAUUGUAAACCCCUGUCAUGUGGGAGCAAAUUAAAAAGAUAGUACCACAAGAGGAAGAGACGGCUAACUCUGUGCCAGCAGCCGCGGUAAUACAGAGGUCUCAAGCGUUGUUCGGAAUCACUGGGCGUAAAGCGUGCGUAGGCUGUUUCGUAAGUCGUGUGUGAAAGGCGGAAGCUCAACUUCCGUAGGGCACUGGAUACUGGCGAGCUUGAAUGCGGUAGAGGUAAAGGGAAUUCCUGGUGUAGCGGUGAAAUGCGUAGAUAUCAGGAGGAACAUCGGUGGCGUAAGCGCUUUACUGGGCCGUAAUUGACACUGAGGAACGAAAGCCGGGGUAGCAAAUGGGAUUAGAUACCCUUGUAGUC
rnacentral:rRNA from 1 species